UCCAACUUGAGGGGGGGUGUUGAGUUACAUGAUGUUGUAUCAUAUUGUAAUAGUGUAUACACAAUGUAUUUAUAGUGUAUAGUUGGUAUACAAUUGGGCAAUGAUGAUAAAGUUUGAAAUUGGGCCUUUCCCGAGCCCAAUACUGAGAGUCAUAUCUGAGCCCAGAUAUGUGACCCGUCCAUACCCGUCCAUUCUUUAUUCUGGUGGGUCACUGACCCGACCCGAAUGUGUAAAUAUAAAUAUAGGGGUCACCGACAUUAGUGACCCCCCGGACUUCAUUUUCUUUCUUUUGCUUCUCGGUUAAUGCAAUUCUCUCUCUGACAUUCGAGAGACUUCUCACCUACUCUCCUCCUUCUUUCUACUUUCUCUCUCUAUAAUUUGUAUGAUUCUCUCGUUCAAUCUUGAUGUUAACAUGGUAUCAG
rnacentral:lncRNA from 1 species